GGGUGGUAAUGCCGGAUGCUCCGACUCCUCGCAUGGGGUGUCGGGAAAGAUUUCAUCGGUAUGGGAUGGGGUCGCGUCCUAUCAGGUAGUCGGCGGGGUAACGGCCCACCGAGCCUACGACGGGUAGCCGGCCUGAGAGGGCGACCGGCCACAUUGGGACUGAGAUACGGCCCAGACUCCUACGGGAGGCAGCAGUGGGGAAUAUUGCACAAUGGGCGCAAGCCUGAUGCAGCGACGCCGCGUGCGGGAUGACGGCCUUCGGGUUGUAAACCGCUUUUGAUCGGGAGCAAGCCUUCGGGUGAGUGUACCUUUCGAAUAAGCACCGGCUAACUACGUGCCAGCAGCCGCGGUAAUACGUAGGGUGCAAGCGUUAUCCGGAAUUAUUGGGCGUAAAGGGCUCGUAGGCGGUUCGUCGCGUCCGGUGUGAAAGUCCAUCGCUUAACGGUGGAUCUGCGCCGGGUACGGGCGGGCUGGAGUGCGGUAGGGGAGACUGGAAUUCCCGGUGUAACGGUGGAAUGUGUAGAUAUCGGGA
rnacentral:rRNA from 1 species